UACGUAGGUGGCGAGCGUUGUCCGGAAUUAUUGGGCGUAAAGAGCUCGUAGGUGGUGUGUCGCGUCUGCCGUGAAAGCCCGGGGCUUAACCCUGGAAUUGCCUUUAAGACUGCAUCGCUAGAAUCGUGGAGAGGUGAGUGGAAUUCCGAGUGUAGAGGUGAAAUUCGUAGAUAUUCGGAAGAACACCAGUGGCGAAGGCGGCUUCCUGGACCGGUUCUGACACUGAGGAGCGAAAGCGUGGGGAGCGAUCCGG
rnacentral:rRNA from 1 species